AUCUCACUAGCGGUGUGGAGAGUGGCAGGGAAUCCUCAUCGUUGUACUGACGGUACGAUAUACAACAAGUAUGUACUGUCUUUGAUUGUGCUUUCGUUUAAAAGGUAGUUUUGUCAGUUCACAUUACCCUGCAACUUGUUAAUUACUAUAUCUGUUGAAAGGAGUUGUCUAUUAUCUGCAACUUCACAUAGCAGGUCAAUACAGACAAGACAAAAAAACUAAACAAAGCAUUGUCAAUGGUGACCUACCACAAAAAUAUAUUCUUAACUGACAAUAAGAUUAUUUCAGGCUCUGUUCAUCCUACUAACAUUUUAUUUAGACAUAUACCGCUACGCUUGUAAUUAUUAUGGUGCUUAUCAUCUUCUAGCCCAUUGGAAGUUUCCUUCUCAUCUCUGUUAUCAGGGAAGCAUUUGAGCCUUCUCUAUCAUCAAGCUGGGAUCCCUUGAGUAUUUGGAGAGGUAUUUAGGAGAUCAUGGAUGAAGAAAUGGAAGAUGUCAUAGUCAAGGUUCUGGACUGCUCGAACCAAUCAGAGGUGAUAAAUCAGUGCUAGUUAUUGCUUUAUAUUUCUGAACAAGACGUUUCUGUCUGUUAGAAAUUGUUGCGACAUUUGCUUAGGGAUUCCCAUGUGCCAUGUUACUAGUUACACUGCUAUUGCUGGUCUCAUUUAGUUUAACAUACCACUGUUAGAUCUUAGAGGUAUAUAUUGCUAAAAAGAAUGCAUGAUCAUUGAUUCAUUGUGAUACCACCUGUGCUAACUUAUUUUGAGCUCCUCUUAUUCUUGCCGGCUCCCCGAUGGAGAUGAAUGAAGAAAGGAAGGUCAGCUUACUAGGACUAGCAGAUAUAUUAUCAGCCUCAAUUGGAGGAUUCUCAUGGGCUCCCUUGAUUUCAAAGAUCUGCAAGAAUAAAGUCGAGGCAGAGGCUUGGUUUACUGGUCUUAGUGCCUUGAUAUGUCGAGGACAGCAUGGAUCCCAGGUCCAACAUAUAGAUGGAAUCCGGAUCGCUGGACUUCCUUUUGAUGGUGCAAGAGAAAGUAGCCUAAGUGGUAGCUCUACUUUCUCUUCGGAUUCCUUUGAGAAUAAGCUGAGCUCGGUAAACUCUACCAAGGAUCGUUCUUCGAGAGAAUAUACAUAUUCAGAAAGGACUGAUGUGUCAGAUAUGCAAGUGAAAAGUGUUUCUUCUUCAGACAUUCGAAUCAGUGUUUCCAGUGCCCUUAGCACAUCCAGCCAUGGCUCUACGAACAAGAGCCAUCAAGCUUCUAGUUCUGGUCGUUCGCUCUCCUAUUUUUCUGCUCAAUAUGUAAGGAGCUGAGUCAUGUGCAUUGUAGCCUGUAUUUUUUUAUUUUUUAGCAAUUGACUAUAUUUGAUGAACAUCAGAGAUGCAUAUACUUUUUUCUCCAAGUUUCAGCAUGUAGUGGUUAUCAGGGAGUCGCCAUCUUGGAAGUAUAGUAGCUGAAUUUAUUUGAGUAGUCUUUUAUCCAGGGUACUAAAUUUUUUUGUUAAAAAUGUCACUGCAUUUAUGUCCUAGUGUCCACAUCCUUAUCUCUACUACUUUUGGCUGCCUAGGUAAGAUGUUACAUCCAUAUGACCUUUGUGAUAUCUUUUUUGCUAUAUGUACUUUUACCAGGCAUAAAUGUGAUCUGAUUUGUGUAGCUUGCUCGUCUUGCUAAGAUGGAGGUUGAGUAUCGAUGUAUCCAGAUCAUAGAGAUUGGUCUUCCAAUGGGUAAACAUAUUAGGAUGAGAGACACCCCGGGGGUCUAAAAUCUGAUGUUGAGUCCGCAUUGCAAGUUCUAAAUUUUGCAAUAUAAGUUGACUGAGAUAGGAGAGCAUGAACAAGUGGAUAGACUUGAGGUGAUUUUAAUAUUUUAUGAUAUUAUCCACCCAACCGUCUCAGCUUUCUUAAGAACUAACUAGUUCAUUUACAAUAUGUUUCUUGUCACAUCUGUGCCUUUUAUUUUUCUUAGGUUUUACCUUCUCCCCAUUCGUGUAUCUAAAAAAGAUCUCUUCACAGCUCUGGAAACAAUCCAAUGGAUGUGGAUGUAGGAAACACUUCAAGUGACCAACAUGUUCCGGCAGAGAGGAUUGAAGCAUCUGAAGUAAUUCUUGGUAAGCAUGUGUUGGAAAACCAUAUAGAUCAAAUGUCAACUGAUGAAGUCGAGCAAUCGAUUAACAGGGACUACAAGAUACAAACAGGGUAAUGAUGUGGAAUGGUAUUGUUCGAAUCGUAUAGCUACCAUUCUAGCAAGAUGUUUACCUACAGGUCCCCUGGCCAUGAUGUGUCAUGAUGGAUGUCUGAUGAAUCCAGCUAAAGCUCUACAUUUGUAACGAACGCUUUCUGACGAGGGCACGGCGAUAACACACCUUCUAUUCUAGUAUGCUUAGUUAGAUUCAAUGUUAGCGCAAACGACUGAUGAUAAGUUUUUCAGUUAGUAUUUUAAUUUGGAUUUAGAGUACACUUAUGUAUGAUUUAUUUGACAAUGCUUAUUUAUGAGACAUUGAAUUGUACUUAUCUAUAUUACAUUAAAUAUGAUGUUAUUAAAUA